rnacentral:tRNA from 1 species
AACUGUAGCUUAGCAGGAUAGAGCGUUCGGCUACGAACCGGAAGGUCGGGGGUUCGAAUCCCUCCAGUUGC